rnacentral:misc_RNA from 1 species
GGAGACUUCAAUUUCUAUUUCUCAACAUUUUGAUGUCCGUCAAUUAUUGGAUAACAAUAAAAUACAUCAACUCUGAAGGCCGAACAGAAUGAGCUACGGCAGCAAAUCAUUGCCAUUGACACAAAUCUAAGCCAAAAUUGCCCACAGAAGAAGACCUAAGUUACAACUAAGCCACCCUGACAAAAAUAACAAGCAACCAGAAUGCCAAGCACAGCUCCAGCAAAGACUUGUAGCGGAGUAUGCCCAAGAAGUUCCUUGAGUUUUCUCUCACUGAUAGGAUGCCCUUGAAACAGGUCCUUAACGAUCAGAUUAAGAACCUCAGCUUGCAUUCCAGCGUGACGCCUAACACCGAUUGCAUCAUACAUAACUAUAAGGCUAAACCCCAAACAAACUGGAAAUAACGAAUCAGCCACCCCGUGACAAAGCGCCACUGAUGUUGUCAAAGCAGUGCAUAAAGCAGAGUGUGAAGAUGGCAUCCCUCCAGAAGCAAACAGUAUUCUUAAAUCCCAUUUCCUCUCCACAAAGAAAUUCAAAAUCACCUUUAUUGAUUGGGCCACAAACCAUGCGAGCAAACCCGAUAUAAAAGUUGGGUUUGCUGCCAAUGUCGCCACAAAAGGACUAAUUCGAACCUUAGCGUUCGAUGUAAUGCUUAAUAAAGCCACUCCAAAAGCUCCGUUUUGCAAGUAAUUGCCACUGUAACAGUUCAUUGCUUUCUCCGAUUCCUCGCUACAAGCUCGUAGGCGAGAAACCCAUUUCUUGGUUUGAGAAGAAGCUACGCCCUUGACGCGUUGAAAGAUUGGGACGAAAACCCAUAAAGGGUUAAAAGAAAAGACGUUACUAUUACAGUCUGAAUUGGGGUUUUGCCGAUUUGAAGGAGUUCUACUGGACAAACAAAUAGGAGAAGUUUUAAAUUUGGUAAAAUAAGUCAACUUGAAGAAUGACAAGUGUUUAGGAUAGAAAGAUUUAGCGCUUGGAUUUGGAGGAUUCAAAAAGAAAUAGUUAAAACUGGAUUUAAGGAUUAAAGAGUCCAUGAGAGGAGACUUCUACGCUUGAGCUCAGUUUCAGUCAGCAUUUCAGAGAGGAACUCUGACGAAGAAACGAAAGGCUAAGUUAGAGUUUGAAACACCGCACCAGAAAGGGAUUCGCUACAGUGGAUAGGAACUAGUGGUGGAGCAAGAGACCUUCGUUUAUCUUGUUAGAACAAAGAUGCCGUUUUUUCUCAAAAAAACAAAGCAACAAAGAUGCCGUUUUCCAAUCACAUUAGGCAAGGAAUAUGCUUUGGUUCAUUUGCUUGGUGCUUGAAAAUGGGUUUGGACAUGAAAGCAAAGCCCAAGAACAAGAGGAGGGAAGAGUCGCUGGGUAUUUAUAUUUGGGUUGGCCUAACCUUGUUUUUGCACUUUUGGCCCAAUUAAACGGAGAAGGGUAAUAUAGUAAAACAGCUAAAUCCGUUGGAGAAAGUUUCCAAGGGCUCUUUCCCUCCUCCCUCGAGUCUCUAGCCGACCUUCCUUCCAUUUUCCCGGUUAGUUCGCCAACGUCUUUUUCUUCAAUUUUAACACAAUCGCUCCUUUACUCUUUCCUCCCUCUAAACGACAAGAAAUGAGUCAUAAAUAUAAGUAAAAUAAGAAAUCCUUAUAAUUAUAAUGAUUAAUCUUUCAUUCCGUAUCUCUAACUAAUUUCAUACAAUCAUUGAUUGAGAAUUUGAUAUUAUUGAUGAACGAGAUACAGAGAUCGGGUACGACCCUUGGCGAUAACGGUGAAAAAAGUGCCUUACCUAUUCUCUAGGACUCUUUACUCACCAUUGCCAUCGUUGGUAAACAGGUCUCAUUUCUGUGCCGAAUUUAUAGAAAAUAUUAAUUUAUCAUCGGCCUUAAUAACAUUGCCAUGAGAAUACAGAGGCUUAUAGAGUGUUUGAAUUGAGGGAUUACGGUAGUAAGGAAAAGUAAAUGAUGAUUUAAAGGAAAUAUACACCUAUUUGGAAGAGAGAGUUGAGGAAGAAGAAAGUUUUUGGGAGAUUAUUUGGGAGUUGAAAACCUCCCAAAACCUGUCAAUUUCCAACUCACCAAUUUCGGUGGGUUGAGGAAUGUUUUAUUUUUUGACUUCCUAUAUUUCCCACAGUAAUUUUACAAAAACUCCAAAUUGCCUAUCCUUGUGUGUUUGACUUAUUUUUUACCUAGCAAACCUACCACCGAAACUAAUUUAAAAAGUGAAUCACCAUCCAACCAAACAAAAUAAGGUUAUAUACUCUUCAUCUGCUUUACUUUCUUCCCAAACAUAAAUAAAACUAUUAUCUUACCUUAUCAUACCAUACAUUCUUUUACCUUACCUUAUCUUACUUUAUUAAACCUCCCUUCACCCCACUUGUGGAAAUGGAAAUUUGAGAAUGCUUUACUGCUAGAUUUAUAAUUUUCUUAGGCAUUUUUCCCUCAUCUGAGGCAACAUGUUGUUUCUGUCCUUGUUUGUAGCCCGCAUUUUUCCUUUUGUACUCUUUGCAUGCAUGAGUGUGGAAGCACCUGGAGUUCCUUGAUAGCUUAAAUCGUAAAUGUUUAUCGUUCCUCUUCUCCAAUAAUCAUAUCUACUUAAUCUCGUGCUUCUUCUCUUGUGCGCUUCAUUGUGAACUUUUAUUUGUAAAAGGAUCUUAGAAAAGAAAUUGGACUACUGGCAUUAAGGACAUAGGCUUCAUGCGCUUAUGAUACUGAUGGCAGUAAAUGGUGAGUUGACCUUUCCAAUACUCAUAGUGAGUAGUGACCCAUGAAUUGUUAUGCCUUUUGGGUAUGUCCUUUUGGUUUUACUGCCAUGAGAUGCUGGGGCUCCCUCGAAGUUCUUUGAAGCUCAUUCUGUCAUUAGGUAGAUAUCAAAAUUUUCUAACCGUGUUGUCAGCCAAAAUUGUCACCUCAACCAAUGUUAUUGAAAGGUCCCACAAGUAA